AAGUCGUAACAAGGUUUCCGUAGGUGAACCUGCGGAAGGAUCAUUAUCGAAAUAGCAUGACGAGUUGUCGCUGGCCCCCAUGCGAGGGUUGUGCACGCUUGUUGUUCUUCAUUUCUCCAUCUCAUUUGUGCACCUCUUGUGUGGAUCAAUGUCCUUUGCGGACGAAUGGGGGGUUUGCUUUGCAAAAUACUUGCGGGCUUUCCUUGUGAUCUAUAUUUUUACAUAUACUCCAGUCACAUAGAAUGAUAUAUAUAUAUAUGGAAAAUUGUUAUACAACUUUCAGCAACGGAUCUCUUGGCUCUCGCAUCGAUGAAGAACGCAGCGAAAUGCGAUAAGUAAUGUGAAUUGCAGAAUUCAGUGAAUCAUCGAAUCUUUGAACGCACCUUGCGCUCCUUGGUAUUCCGAGGAGCAUGCCUGUUUGAGUGUCAUUAAAUUCUCAACCCUUUCAGCUUUUGCGAGUUGAUUUGGCUUGGAUGUGGGGGUUGCGGGCUUCUCAGAAGUCGGCUCCUCUUAAAUGCAUUAGCGGAACCUUUGUGGACCAGCUUUGGUGUGAUAAUUAUCUACGCCAUGGCCGUGAAGCAGCUUUACAUGGGGUUCAGCUUCUAACCGUCCAUUGACUUGGACAAUUUCUGACAUUUUGACCUCAAAUCAGGUAGGACUACCCGCUGAACUUAAGCAUAUCAAUAAGCGGAGGAAAAGAAACUAACAAGGAUUCCCCUAGUAACUGCGAGUGAAGCGGGAAAAGCUCAAAUUUAAAAUCUGGCGGUCCUUGUGGCCGUCCGAGUUGUAAUCUAGAGAA
rnacentral:misc_RNA from 1 species